CGCGGUCUGCCUGGCGGGUCUGCCCAGCCUCACUCCUCCGCGGGCUGCGGCGCUGGCGCAGGUGCGCGCCAGGUGGCCCUCCAGGCUGCUGUUUAGGCAGCGGUGGCGGGAAGGUGGCUCCGAGGGCACCGUGUUGAGUGCCUUCUACUCAUCCUGCAACUCCGAGUGAAACGUAGGAAGGAUUUGUAUCUGGACUAUUGAAAGCAUGAAAGCGUCAAAGGCCAUGGAUGCGCUCCCAUCUUAGCGUUGAUGAGGUGUGUUUUGACAAAGGACUUACUCUGCAGCUGACAGGAGAGUCUACAGAUAGAAUGACCAAGGAACUAGAGAUGACUGUUGUUUUGUUUCUGAAAUUGACCUUGAAGCCAUGAGCCCUAGUUUGAGGAACCACUGAAGAAGAAGGAGAAGGAGAAGAAGGAAAAGAAGGAGGAGGAGGAGGAAGAGGACAUGACUGUUGACCUUGUGAUUAGGGAGGAGGGAUGAGAAAGGUCGGGGGCUGUGUGUGAGACCCAGUGAUUCUUUGUUAGUAAAGCCAACUCGUUUUGCCUCUGCACUCUGACUCCUGCACAAAGGGCAUGCAAAUUGAUCACUACUGAAGUUAUUGUUAAAAAGCAAACAAGUCAAGUUAAAGAAUUAUUUUGAAGACAAUUUUUGGUUAUCAAAUUUCAGAAUGAGUGUACUGCACCAAAAGACAACUUGAAGAUAAUGGGCAGAAUGAACAAGAGGUGUGAUAAUGUUUACAAAUCCUUUUGGGCAUGUGCCUUUCUAUGUAAAACAUAUGGCUCUUUAAAUACAAGAAGGAACUGGGGAUUCUUUCUGUAGAUUUAAUGACAAAAAGAGAUGGUGGCAUUAUUUAAGAUGACAACUUGACUGACAAAUACCCAAUCCUCAUCAAAGAAUGUAAAAAAAACCACAAAUAACUGAGAAUAUAAUAAUUAAGAAAAUCAAGAAAAAAUUAUAUAAUCUUUAUAUUUUUUUCCAACAAUUUAGUCCCCUUUGUUGGUGAUAACCAACAGCAAUCACCACACUGUUGUCCAUGCCCAUGAGUCCUUUUUCCUUUUUGCUCAAUCUCUCC